GGUGGCAAAGUUUGAGCCGUGUGCCAUAUCGUCGCUCGAAAAAUGUCUGGUAAAAUGAAGUGGAAACGAAAAACCUCGAGGGCCGCUGAGGAAGACUCGAAAGGAAAAGAAACCUAGUGCCAGCGACGGUACUAUUAACCACAUCCGGAGUGUAAAUAAAGUGUACCGACGAGUUUCACUUCGGGACGGAACGAACGGGUGGCAGCCGCAAAGGAGGGAUCGUUUCACUCCAGGGUUCGCGGAGUAAGAUAAGCCGGCAAGAUGGUGGUCGGGGGAGCGAGCAUCCACAAUAUAAUGGGCGGGAUGGAGAGCACGGGCACGGUGCGUCUACACAAUCACAAGCGCAAACUGAAGCAAAGAUUCGACAUUAUCAAGAAACUUGGUCAGGGUACCUACGGCAAAGUGCAACUUGGAAUCAAUAAGGAAACCGGACAGGAAGUAGCGAUCAAGACCAUAAAAAAAUGCAAGGUGGAGACCGAGGCCGAUCUCGUCAGGAUACGAAGGGAAAUCCAGAUCAUGUCCAGCGUGCAACAUCCGAACAUUAUACACAUUUACGAAGUUUUUGAGAACAAGGAGAAGAUGGUGCUAGUUAUGGAAUAUGCGGCUGGCGGGGAGUUGUACGAUUAUUUGAGGAAACGUAAAGUAUUGUCGGAGAAGGAGGCUCGAAGGAUAUUUCGCCAGAUAGCCAUCGCUGUCUACUAUUGCCAUAAACAUAAGAUCUGUCACCGGGAUCUGAAGCUGGAGAAUAUUCUUCUGGAUCAGGUCGGCAAUGCUAAAAUCGCGGAUUUCGGACUGUCGAAUGUCUUCGACGAGCAGCGGUUAUUGGACACGUUUUGCGGCAGUCCUUUGUACGCCAGUCCGGAAAUUGUUAAGGGGACACCGUAUCAUGGCCCCGAGGUCGACUGCUGGAGUUUAGGUGUUCUUUUGUACACCUUGGUUUACGGUGCCAUGCCCUUCGACGGAUCGAAUUUCAAAAGGCUAGUCAAACAGAUCUCUCAGUCGGAUUACUUCGAACCACAGAAACCAUCACCUGCCUCGCCACUAAUAAAAGACAUGCUGACGGUGUGUCCAAAAAAGCGAUCGGACAUCGAGAAGAUUUGCACUCAUUGGUGGGUAAACGAAGGGUAUGAAAUUAAUUGUUUCGAUAUCGCCGAAGAACUUGCUGCAGAAACGCCUGUUAGAUUGGAUUUGCUGUUAUCGUUGGUGCCUCAAGCAGCCAGUGCCGAUAAAUUAGUGGUCGGCGACCAACAAGCAGGUGGCGAUGUAGCGAACAACAUGUCUUCCGAAACUCUGGUGCCAACUAGGUGUCAUUCGGUUGGUAGUCUUAUGGAACUAGACCGAAAUAAUUCUGACAGAAGAAUAAGGGAAAUGGUCGAAGAAGAGCCUAGAAUGGGUGCAACCGGCGAUGCCAAGAGAAAACUGGAAACGACGCCGUCGAUGGACGAAGCAGUCGCAUCCGAGGUCAAAAGGAAAGAAAGGGUGAGACGAAUAGAAAGAAUGACUGAAUGUGAGCCUAGGAGUUAUAGAUCAGGAUCUAGGCAUCAUUCGGCACCUAUCCCAAAUCCCAUAACGGAAGAAGCCAUGGAGGUAUGUCCCCCGGCAUUUGAAAUCGAUCCUAUCGCUCCCACGGUUACCGCUCAAGAGUUGGAUAAGACGUGUUUAGAACUAAUUCAGGAAAGUGGAGAAACAGGCAACAGAGAAAGAAGCAAAACUCCCGUAGCGGCGGAAGGUCACGAAGUCAAGGAUGAAUAUUUAGAGCAAAGUGUUGGCGAGACGAAAGAACAUGAUGCUAGGGUGGAAAAUCAGAACUCAGAGGAAAGGGCCUCAAAGUCUCCUAAGAAGGACAUGUCGGAUAAACCGCACAAAUCGCCGGACAGGAAGAAGCCUGCUAAGGAGAAAGUUGGCGAAACUGUAGAGCGCGAGAAUAACGCCGUUUCUCAAGAACCGUCGUCCCGCUCGACCGAAGCAGAGACCAAAACAAGCGACGCUAAUAGUGAGACUCCUGCACCAAAGGAGAGCAACAAGUCGGAAUCCGUAGGCAGGACGAACAUCAAGAAACUCCGGGAAAAAGCCCUGUCCCUUGAUUCUGAACUUUUAAACGAGCCGGCGGAACCACCGGUAAAGCCAACCGAAAGAAGACGGUCAAAGAUAUUCGAAACUGCUGAGAAGUUCAACCAAAUGGCUCUAACUACCGAGAUGGAGAAACCCAAAAAGAUCUUUAUACCUGGCGUGAACGUGGGUGGCGCAAAACGCGCUUUUGAACGUAAAGCAAGUCUCUCGUCGAUCGCUACGCCCCCAUCUGUAAAACCCACGAAGGCUAUUAUAGAUGUACCUACCGACAAGAAGAACGACAAGCCGGAGGAAAAGUCGCUCGAAGCCGCAAAGACAGAAACCGAAACUAAAGACGACAGGACGAGUAAACGAGACGAGGAAAAGAAAAGAGCGGUGGACAUCAUUACAGGGGCCUUAGGGAAACCGCCGAUGCAGCGGAAGGUAAACGGAUCGCCUCCUACUUCACCGCAAAGUAACGAGGCUAAAAAACUCGGACUAAAGGUGCAAGUCGGUCCGAACGAUGUUAGAACCGCCACGGUGACGGUAUCCACGCCAGUCGAGACCAAGUUUCCGUUCGAAACGAAGCCGUCCGUGCCAAAAGCGGUAUCCAGCACGCCUGAUUCCGAAAACUCCCCGGUGGAAGAACCCAGAAAGUCAAGUAAAAUGGAGAUCACCUUGAAGAGCGCCACGCUACCGCGACCCCGAAAAACUAGUAAAGCAGAAAUCAUAUUAACUGGAGCGAAGUCGCCAGAAAGCUUCAAGUCCGAGGUCGAGGCCAAGAUUGCGGCGGUUCCCCCGCAAAAAUUAAGGACCCAGAGAUCGGAGAUCGCGUUCCCUGUUGCGGCAGCGGUUCCUCAAGCUCAUAGAUGUUCCAGCUUGGAACCCGAAGACAAAUCGUCACCUAAAGAACGAAUUAUACCGAUCCAUGUUGAACCAGGUUCGCAGCAGCCUCAGCACUCUUCUACCCCGCCACCAAAGCCUCCAAUGCCUCAACGUUCCAUGUCACAAAGAUCCAAUUCUCUGUCGCGUCAAUCAACCGCAGAUUCUGAUACGGACAGUGCUUUGGGCUCGACUUCUGGCCCUGAACCGAUCAGAAAGAGCCCGAGAGAGUACAUUAUUCCCAUUGCGGUAGAAGGCGGCGGCUAUGUGACACCCAGGUCUGGAAGUGUUGAACCAGAGAGCAAAACUAGUGCUCCAACGAGUACCACGGCAUCAAGGCCAAGAUUCGGACGACCAAGAAGAAUGAGCUCGUUGCUCUCCGAUGCCAGUGAAGAUGAAUCUCCCUUCUCAACGCUUCACAGGGACAGUGACGACCUUCUGCAGAGGCACAUGCAUCGUCUGCGAAGCUCUCGACCAACCAGACAACCGCCCGAGCAUGCCGAUAGCUUAUCGUCCGGAGAAGACGACGACGACGACGGUUUCGAAUUACUGACCGCUGAAAAUUUAUUCUCUACCCUUCUGUCAAGAGUGAGAAGCUUGACCCAGAGACUGAAUGUCGACGACAACCGAGGCAGUGGUUUCCUCGGCAGUAGAUUGUUGGGAAGAUUAGGAUCAAAUUCGCCUCAAGGUUUCUGGGGAGUCCACGAGCCAUUGUCUAGGCGAAUCUCGGAAUCGCAGUUCCGGCGCUCUCUGAGUCGUGAUACCGACAGGUUCGGAUGCAAGGAUCCCUCCGAUCCAGGAAGCCCUGGGGCACAAAAUAACCAGGGGACACGGAGUACACCCUCGCGGGAGAACGUCUUUGAGACUGGGAGCAACACUUUGCCACGAGAUAAGUCGAGGAAGGACGAGGAGGCCGAGUGCACGGAGAUGAGGAGGCAGGCCCAGGAGUCGCUCGAGCAGAGCUUCACGCCGAGCCUGGCGCGCCGUCUGAGUCGGCAGUUCAUCGAGCAGACCCGACACUCGCUGCCCAGGUCGCCGUCGAUACCCCGCGAGAAGUACCAGCCGCCCACCCAGCGAGUCCUCGGCACCCUGGAGGUCGACGAGGCCGACAAACGGCCCAUGCCGUCCACCAGCUCGGACCAGACCGAGUACAGGGGCAGGUCGGUCGACCGGGUCGUUCGGAGGACCUCGAGCCUGCUGGAGCCCAAGGACGCCGAGACCUCGGACCGCAAGUCGCCCAGGAGGAGCAUCAGCCUCUUCGACGACGAGGACAAGCUGCUGCUGCCUCCUCUGCCGAGGCAGGUCGCGAACUUCGGCAGGAAGCUCAGGGAUGCCGGCAAGUCUACCGGCGGGGCGAGCUCCAGGCGGGAGAAUUUUCACGUCUACAGGAACGAGAAUAUCCAGGAGGAGACGGACGACUCCCAGCUGCCCCGUCUCAGGAACAGGCUGGAGAACAAGUGCGUGGAGAACGGCUCCGCGUCAGAGGGUAACUCCACGGUAGACUGUAAUUCUGUGGCGAAUUUGAUUGACCCUGCUUCCAGUGCCUCGGCCAGGUCCAGCGAGACUUCCAUCACGGAGUCCUCUUCGAACUUGAUGGAUUACAGCGGGUCCUAUAAGUCGGAGGACGCGAAGGAUUUCGAGAACCGGCUGCUCGCUGCGGAGAAUCUGAUCAAGGAGUCCAAGAAGAGGAACCUAGGAGGCGGGAGGUUCGAUCCGAAUUUGAGGUCUAGCUACAAGGACAUUGAUAAGUGCGACAAGGACUCGCUGGGGUCCAUCGUCGAUGUCGGGACCAUCGCGACGAAGAGGAGGAGCUGCAUACCGAGUCUGAGGCUCAGGUCGGGGUCUCUGAACAGAGAGACGUCCUUGGGGAAAGAUCGGAGGAAGUCGUACGCUGGAUCUCAGAGUGGGCUGUGCAUAAGAGAGGUCACGCCGGAGAGGUCGAUCCUGAGUAAGUUCUUCAAGCCUGGAGGAUCGAAGGACGAGGAGCCGAAGGACGCUGCCCAGAAGCCCAAGGCCCAGCGCAGGAUCUCCAGGUUUCUGAGACCGGACUUCUUUGAUACUCCGCGCGAGGAAAGUCAGUACGUGAAGGAGAAGGAAGCGCGGAAAGCUGCCGAAAACGAGCGCAGGAAAUCGAGGUUCACCAGGAAAAAGGUCGAACCUAAGGACGAGGAGAAGGAUCCUGAAGGGGCAGCGUCUAAAGAGCUGAAGAACGAAGUCAAUUCCAUAACGAAAGAACGCUCGGACGCUCUUGGUAAGGACGAAAUCAUCGAAAAGGACGCACAGGAGAAGACGCAGGACGAGACCAAAUGCAAGAUCGACAAGCAGAACUCGAAAAGCGGCUUUCUUUAUUCCCUUGAGAAAAAAUUGGAAAAGUUCCGCUCGGGCGAUGACAAUUCCAAAACUGAGAAGCUGAGGAACUCGCGGGAAAAUUCUGCGCCCCCCGCGGAAUGUCUACCGCCCAGUUUGGAGAUUAUGAAGAAGACAUUGAGCGUCGAAAACCUCGCUACCGGUGGUGCUGCGAUUACAGCAGACGAGCAGAGUAGCUCGUCUAAGAGCAAGGUAUCGUCAGUUUUGGGUUUAUUCAAGAAUAAUGACGGCAAAUCUAGUUCUAAUGGCGCUCGACCUCAAAGCGCUAUUUUAAGUAGAUUAAGGAAAAGUCCGUAUAAAGGGUCUCGAUCGGAUACCGUACUGACUGGUGAUGCGUCUGCCAACAGCAAGAUUCCAACGAAGCAGUCUAGAGCUGCGAAAAAAGUCAGCGAGGUCAAAAAAUCUCCCGAAAAGGUAACCGAGACGAAGCGGACACCGACGAGGGAGAAACUGAAGGAUAAGAUUACGCCGGAAAGGACUACGGCGGAUACGAAAAGAUCCUCGGUAGAAAGGACAACGAAGGAAAAUAAGAAAAUAACUCCAGACAAAGUGAUUCAGUCUAAAUUGGAAGGUCAAGAAAAAUCCGAUGUCGCUGUUAAUGGACUUCCUGUCAAGGAUGGAGUUGCGGAGAAAACUGCAAAAAAGGCUGGAUCGUCUGAAAGAGUGAUCGACAAGGUGAGCAGUUCAACGGAAAAAGGUGCUUUGAUGAAAAAGAUAUCGCCGGAUAAAGAUAAUAAACAAGCCGAAAUCAAGACUAGGAAGAUCUCCCCGGAUAAGGACAAUAAGCAGAGCGACGAUAAGAGCAGCGAUUCCGAGGAGAGGAAAGUUUCUAAGCUGAAGAGAAAUAGCUCCAGUUCGGUAACUUCUUCGAGGAGAAAUGGAUCGAUGACAAAGGUAGAAAAAGGUGAGGAAGUUGAGAAGAAGGUUGUUAAAGCGACCAAAACGAAGGAUCCUGUAGAAAAGGAUGGGGAGAAGCCCGAGAAGAAAAAGAGCGUGCGAGUUGUCAAGAAAGUUGCGAAGAAAUCGCCUGACAGUUCCGACAGUAAGUCAGAAGGUAAAGAGGGCAAGGAGAAGAAGUCGUUGAUCAAGACCAUGAUUUCUGAGAGUAAGUCUGACAGUAAAGAAGGUAAAGAGGGUAAGGAGAAAAAGUCGUUCAUUAAAAAGAUCGUUUCAACGAGAAAGGAGAAGAACCCGGAGGCAUCGGCGGCUUUAUCAAACGACAGAGAUGCCAAAGAACCGUCAUUACCUAAAGCAGAAAAUCCCCGAGGUACGAUAAACGAGAAUACCGUAGAUUCCACAACGCCUGGGGUAAAGCCGAGCAGGAGCAACUUGAAACUAGAUUUAACGAGAAUACCUCAACAUUCCUUCAGAGGAUCAUCCGCGAAAAAAGAACCUCCGAAGACCGAGGGCAAAUCAUCGGACGACGCGAAGAUGGACGGCGUUCUCUCGAAAAUUACCCAUCACGCGAAUAUCACCGGUAACAAGAUCAUAAUCGACAAACCAUUGAGCGCAAAAGACGUUGCGGAACUAAAGAACGAGGUAAGGAAUUCCCAUGAAAAUUUGGAAGUCGAAGUUAAGGAAGAGAAGAAAGAGCCCGAGGUCCCCCAGGUGAAGGUGCAGAUCACGGAGCCCGAAGUGCCUCCAACCAUCGCCGAAACUUCACCCAGCGAAAAAUAUAGUCCCGAUCCUCCUUCCCUGAAAGAGAGUCCGAACGAGAACACCGAGGAAAUCCUUACGCCUGUUGACGACACCGACAACUUCGAUUUUUGGUCCGUGUGUUCGGCAGAUAUGAACCACUUACGGGGCGACUUACAUUCGCCGACCUCGCCUACGUACUCCCUAGCUCUGCGAGGAGACUAUUCCACGGAGUCCAUAGUAGACAGGAUCAGGAGAAGGAGCUUCUACUCUCGAUUUAACGACCGCAAAAGAAAGACGUCCUUGAUAGGUACCUCGAGCAGUCUCGCUCCCGCGACCAGCUCCACGUUGCCCAGGAAGUUCAGUUACGGGUCCAGCCGCGACAGGGACCUGCCACUGAGCUGGUCUUCUCGAAGAAACCCUGAAAGAACGUACAGUCUUUACAACGACGACAUCGUUGCUCCCAGCCGGGUGAAAUCACCGGUGGAUAGGUACUCCGAGGUCGGCAGCACUUACUCCAUCGACUCCAGGCCCACCUCCGAUUCCCAUCACGGAAGUCUGUCCAGCUCUUACGAUCCUCUGCGAAGGUACAGCAGGUCGCCCACCUUGAUGGACUCCACCAGCUCGAGGAAGAUGUAUCGUAGCGCUGACUUCACCGACAGCGAGCUGGGGUCCUACAAAACUCCACUGACCGGUUCCUUCUCGAGCGAUGGGAACUCUGAUCCGUACACCACCAGAAGCACCGGCACCUUGCCCAAGAGAUACGGCUCCACCGUAUCUAGCCUACAACCAAAAACUCCGGAGUACUACGAGGAACUGCUGUCCCCGGGGACCAGCGAGUACUUCUCCAGCAGGAAGCCACUGACUUCCGGAGAAGUCUCCGCUAGGUUUGAGAACGGGUACCAUAAUGGCAAUCUUGACCUGCCCCAACUUGGGGACAAGUGGAAGAGCUACUCCGACAAGGUGACGGAGAUCGACAUCGGCGAUGAUAGCGAGAGACGGGAACGAACAAGAAGUAAAAGCCAGCAACGUGUCGGUGAACCGAGAGAUCUACCGUCACCAUCUUUGGAGCCUCGAGCCAAUGUUUCCACUGCCGAAUGAGUCGUCGAUCGUCAAGGACCAAACCAAAGAAAUUCAACUAGUCUGCACUCGUUAGUAGAGUCAUCAACCACGGAUCAAUGUAUUCAAAUGUGAAACUACCUUUGGAAGGAAUUUGUUAACGUUAUCCUCCGAUAUCGACGCGUCGGCGUUAAUAUUGGUGAUCCACCUAAACCUGCAAAGGGACACAAAAGUACAGGUAAAACAGAACAUUGAAGAAACACCAGGAAGUCGCCAGAUUCUCUGAAGUGGCUCACCUAUAGCUGAAAAGGAACACGAAGGCACGAACGAAACCAUUGGAAAGCGAGAAAGAGACGGCGAUACAA
rnacentral:misc_RNA from 1 species